UGGGGAAUAUUGCGCAAUGGGGGAAACCCUGACGCAGCUACGCCGCGUGGGUGAUGAAGGCCUUCGGGUUGUAAAGCCCUGUCUGUGGGGAAGAAGAAUGACGGUACCCACAAAGAAAGCACCGGCUAACCCUGUGCCAGCAGCCGCGGUAAUACAGGGGGUGCAAGCGUUGCUCGGAAUCACUGGGCGUAAAGCGAGCGCAGGCGGACCGUUAAGUCGGGUGUGAAAUCCCGGGGCUCAACCCCGGAACUGCAUUCGAAACUGGCGGUCUUGAGUACGGGAGAGGUGAGUGGAAUUCCUGGUGUAGAGGUGAAAUUCGUAGAUAUCAGGAGGAACACCGGUGGCGAAAGCGGCUCACUGGCCCGAUACUGACGCUCAUGCUCGAAAGCGUGGGGAGCAAACAG
rnacentral:rRNA from 1 species